rnacentral:rRNA from 1 species
AUGGCUCAGUGAGGCCUUCGGACUGGUCCAGGGAGGUCGGCAACGACCACCCAGGACCGGAAAGUUGGUCAAACUCGGUCAUUUAGAGGAAGUAAAAGUCGUAACAAGGUCUCCGUAGGUGAACCUUCGGAGGGAUCAUUA